GACGAACGCUGGCGGCGUGCUUAACACAUGCAAGUCGAACGGAAAGGCCCUGCUUUUGUGGGGUGCUCGAGUGGCGAACGGGUGAGUAACACGUGAGUAACCUGCCCUUGACUUUGGGAUAACUUCAGGAAACUGGGGCUAAUACCGGAUAGGAGCUCCUGCUGCAUGGUGGGGGUUGGAAAGUUUCGGCGGUUGGGGAUGGACUCGCGGCUUAUCAGCUUGUUGGUGGGGUAGUGGCUUACCAAGGCUUUGACGGGUAGCCGGCCUGAGGGGGUGACCGGAGUGAUGGGGACGGGGGUAGGGCGCAGAGGCGAAUGGGGGGCAGGGGGGGGAAGGAUUACGGAGGGGGGGGAAGUGUGGGGGGGCGGGUCGGCGUCCGUGAUGACGUGUUAGGGGGGGUAAACCGAUGUGGCAUGAAACGAAGACAGAGUGACGGUAAUGGGUAAGGAAGCGACGGCGGACUAGGUG
rnacentral:rRNA from 1 species